rnacentral:rRNA from 1 species
AUGCUCAGUAUGAUGAAGCCACUGCCCUCGGAUGCUGAGUAUCCCAAGGAAUUCCUUGUUGAAGACCUUGAGUAUCUGCCACGCACAAUCUAUCAUAUCAUUCGGCGAACUCUAUGGCCGAUGAAGGGGCAUUCCUCCUCAGCAAAUCUUGAAGGAGCAAUGAAGACAUUGGUCUUCUACAUACUCAAUGGCAAAAGCUUCAAUGCUCAAGAUUUCUUCAUACGCCAGUUUGCUGCAUCUGGGUCUGACAUUUCCGGUCUCAAAUUUUAUGCUCCUUGGGUUAUGCGUCUGAUUAAGCUGCACUCUGCUGUUGACUAUCAGCCCUCUGCACGCAACCAUAUUAUCUUCCUGCCAGAGGUUGAUAUGUCAGUCGAAGCCAUUUACCCAGAGCCUGCCAAGGAAGCGCUAUAUCUUCACAAUGCAGAUUGUCAGAGUUUCACUCAGGAUGUUGAAGGUGUUCAAGCUGUUUCGCGUGUCUAUCCAUUGGCCAGCAACACUCGUCGUGCACGUACUGAAGCCAUUGAAAGCACCAUUGCGCCAAGGUCUCGCAAGCGCUCCCGUGUACUCUAUGACCAUGAGCUUCUUGUGGCCCUGCAUCGGAAACAAGACAAGCAUCACUUUUGGCUGAAACGGCAGAUGCAAAGCCUCUUGAUGGAUGUUAAUCACAUUCGCAAUCUUGCUACCAAGAAUGCUUUUGUCACUCAUGAAACCUGUCGGAGGUCCUGGAAGAGUCUAACAUUACUAAGUGUUGAAGCUGAUCUUCAAGACGAUGGCUUCACUGAGAGAUUCAAGUUCGACUCCACUCCUCCACGGAAUGAUGUGCUACGUCAAACCCCAUCUCUUGAAGACUCAGAAUACUCUUCCUCUGCAGCCACUGUUCACGCUAGAGUUAUUGAUGAAGCUGAUGAUGCUACCUCACCACCUCCAACCUCAGCGCAUGUCAACACUGCACCAAGUUCUUCUGCACCACCUAACCUCAACGACGACCCUACUGCUUCACCUACUCCUCAUGGGAACGAGUAG